rnacentral:rRNA from 1 species
AAUAUUGCACAAUGGGGGAAACCCUGAUGCAGCCAUGCCGCGUGUGUGAAGAAGGCCUUCGGGUUGUAAAGCACUUUCAGUAGGGAGGAAGGUAGUGUAGUUAACACCUGCACUAUUUGACGUUACCUACAGAAGAAGCACCGGCUAACUCCGUGCCAGCAGCCGCGGUAAUACGGAGGGUGCGAGCGUUAAUCGGAAUUACUGGGCGUAAAGCGCAUGCAGGCGGCCUGUUAAGUCAGAUGUGAAAGCCCCGGGGCUUAACCUCGGAAUUGCAUUUGAAACUGGCAGGCUAGAGUCUUGUAGAGGGGGUAGAAUUUCAGGUGUAGCGGUGAAAUGCGUAGAGAUCUGAAGGAAUACCAGUGGCGAAGGCGGCCCCCUGGACAAAGACUGACGCUCAGAUGCGAAAGCGUGGGGAGCAAACAGGAUUAGAUACCCUGGUAG